GAUGAAGAACGUAGUGAAAUGCGAUAAGUAAUGUGAAUUGCAGAAUUCAGUGAAUCAUCGAAUCUUUGAACGCACAUUGCGCCAGCCAGUACUCUGGCGGGCAUGCCUGUUCGAGCGUCAUUACAACCCUCAGGCCCCCGGGCCUGGCGUUGGGGAUCGGCGGAGCCCCCCGUGGGCACACGCCGUCCCCCAAAUACAGUGGCGGUCCCGCCGCAGCUUCCAUCGCGUAGUAGCUAACACCUCGCGCCUGGAGAGCGGCGCGGCCACGCCGUAAAACACCCAACUCUUCUGAAGUUGACCUCGAAUCAGGUAGGAAUACCCGCUGAACUUAAGCAUAUCAAUAAGCGGAGGA
rnacentral:misc_RNA from 1 species